CUCGGUGGCGAAGGCGUCCCGUGGUGAAAGACUGAUGCUCAGGUGGGAAAGCGUGGUGAGCAAGCAGGAUUAGAUACCCUGGUAGUUUACUCCGUAAACGAAGUCGAUUGGACGGUAGUGCCCUUGAGGCGUGGCUUUCGGAGAUAACGCAUUAAAUCGACCGCCUAGGGAGUACGGCCGCAGGGUUAAAACUCAAAUGAAUUGACGGGGGCCCGCACAAGCGGUGGAGCAUGUGGUUUAAUUUGAUGCAACGCGAAGAACCUUACGUACUCUUGACAUCCAGAGAACUUAGCAGAGAUGCAUUGGUUCCUUCGGGAACUCUGAGACAGGUGCUGCAUGGCUGUAGUCAGCUCGUGUUGUGAAAAGUUGGGUUAAGUCCCGCAGCGAGCGCAACCAUUAUCGUUUGGUGCCAGCGGUUCGGCCGGCAACUCAAAGGAGAUUGCCAGUGAUACAUUGGAGGAAGGUGGGGACGACGUCAAGUCAUCAUGGCCCUUACGAGUAUGUCUACACACGUGAUACAAUGUCGUAUACAAAGAGAAGCGACCUCGCGAGAGCAAGCGGACCUCAUAAAGUAUCGUAGUAGUCCGGAUUGGAGUGUGCCACCUCGACUCCAUGAAGUCGGAAUCGGUAGUAAUCGUCGAUCAGAAUUAGUUGGUGAAUACGUUCACGGACUUUGUCCACACCGCCUGUCACACCAUGGGAGUGGGUUGCAAAGGACGUAGUACGCUUGACCUUCGGGAGGGCGCUCACCAGCUUUGUGAUUCAUGCAGGGGGCGAAGUCGUAACAAGGUAACCGUAAAUCGAAUUCCCGCG
rnacentral:rRNA from 1 species